rnacentral:sRNA from 1 species
AUGGUUAUAGCGGAUUUUUUCAAAUCCCUAUUCACCCAAAUGACCAAGAAAAAACCACUUUCACUUGUCCUUAUGGGACCUUUGCUUACAAGCGUAUGCCUUUCGGUCUAUGUAAUGCACCAGCUACUUUUCAGCGGUGUAUGACUUCUAUUUUCUCGGAUUUGAUAGAGGAGAUGGUAGAGGUAUUCAUGGAUGAUUUUUCUGUGUAUGGCUGUUCCUUCUCCUCGUGUUUGUUGAACCUGUGUAGGGUACUUAAAAGAUGUGAAGAGACAAAC